rnacentral:rRNA from 1 species
CUGNGGAAUAUUGCACUCUGGAGGAAACUCUGAUGCAGCGACGCCGCGUGAACGAUGAAGGCUUUCGGGUCGUAAAGUUCUGUCCUAAGGGAAGAUAAUGACGGUACCUUAGGAGGAAGCACCGGCUAACUACGUGCCAGCAGCCGCGGUAAUACUUAGGGGGCGAGCGUUGUCCGGAAUUAUUGGGCGUAAAGGGUUCGCAAGCGGCUUUUUAAGUCAGGUGUGAAAGAUCACGGCUCAACCGUGGUAAGCACUUGAAACUGAAAAGCUUGAGUCAAGGAGAGGAAAGUGGAAUUCCUAGUGUAGCGGUGAAAUGCGUAGAUAUUAGGAGGAAUACCACUGGCGAAGGCGACUUUCUGGACUUGUACUGACGCUGAGGAACCAAAGCAUGGGGAGCAAACAGGAUUAGAUACCCUGGUAGUCCAUGCCGUAAACGAUGAGUGCUAGGUGUCGGGUGUCAAAACUCGGUGCCGCAGCUAACGCAUUAAGCACUCCGCCUGGGGAGUACGUACGCCAGUAUGAAACUCANGGGGAAUUGACGGGC